rnacentral:rRNA from 1 species
UACGUAGGGCGCAAGCGUUGUCCGGAAUUAUUGGGCGUAAAGAGCUCGUAGGCGGUCUGUUACGUCCGCUGUGAAAACCCAGGGCUUAACCCUGGGCUUGCAGUGGAUACGGGUAGACUAGAGGCAGGUAGGGGAGAAUGGAAUUCCCGGUGUAGCGGUGAAAUGCGCAGAUAUCGGGAGGAACACCGGUGGCGAAGGCGGUUCUCUGGACCGAGACUGACGCUGAGGCGCGAAAGCGUGGGGAGCAAACAGG